UGUAUUCUUAGGGUAGAUUAGUCCAA
rnacentral:piRNA from 1 species